UUGGAGGGCAAGUCUGGUGCCAGCAGCCGCGGUAAUUCCAGCUCCAAUAGCGUAUAUUAAAGUUGUUGCAGUUAAAAAGCUCGUAGUUGAAUUUCGGGGUUAGUAGAUUGGUCAUGCCACUGGUAUGUACUGGUCUUACUGGCUCCUCCUUCCUGAUGAACCGUAAUGCCAUUAAUUUGGUGUUGCGGGGAAUCUGGACUGUUACUUUGAAAAAAUUAGAGUGUUUAAAGCAGGCUAACGCUUGAAUACAUUAGCAUGGAAUAAUGAAAUAGGACGUUCGAUCCUAUUUUGUUGGUUUCUAGGAUUGACGUAAUGAUUAAUAGGGAUAGUUGGGGGCAUUAGUAUUCAAUUGUCAGAGGUGAAAUUCUUGGAUUUAUUGAAGACUAACUACUGCGAAAGCAUUUGCCAAGGAUGUUUUCAUUAAUCAAGAACGAAAGUUAGGGGAUCGAAGACGAUCAGAUACCGUCGUAGUCUUAACCAUAAACUAUGCCGACUAGGGAUCGGAUGAUGUUAAUUUUUUAAUGACUCAUUCGGCGCCUUACGGGAAAC
rnacentral:rRNA from 1 species